UAUGGUUUUGGUGACCCUGUCUUUGACUUGACAAAACAUUACACACAACUCUUGUAAAUGUACUGUCCUAACAUACUCUAAAUUUAUGCUUUCGCCGUAAAACCUUUUUGAAAUCGUAAAACGUGGUUAGAUUAAGGAGAUGUUUAUCUUUCAAAUGGUGUAACAUAGUUGUAUUUUUGAAAAAUUUGAAUUUUGACAUUUAUUUGGAUUCAAAUUUGCCGCUCUUGAAAUGCACCUGCUGUUGAUGGAGUGCACCACGGGUGGCACGCUAGCGUCCCACCUAGCCCCAAGAGGUUAAGAGGUGAUGACCACUCCACUCCACUACCAUUGUCAACUCUUUCUUGACUUGAACUGAAGCCACGUCUCAUGUGCCCUUUCAUCCACUGGCACAUUGAAUGUUUCCUCUCCAAUCACUUCAAAUCCUGUCCUGCACUGAAGUCAAGCCUCUGAACACCUCUACUCAUGCCUCAUACCCUCAUUCAAUCACUGCUGGGAUCCCUUUCCAAAACUGGGCAUCUUCUUCGUGGAGAAAAAGGACAAGACCCUGUGCCCGUGCAUUGACUACUAAGCGACAUUACGGUUAAGAACCGUUACCCGCUUCCACUCAUCUCCUCGGCCUUCGAGCCGCUCCAGGGGGCCACUGUGUUUUCCAAGCUGGAUCUACGGAACGCCUACCACCUAAUGCGGAUACGAGAAGGGGAUGAGUGGAAGACCACCUUCAACACAGCCAGUGGCCACUACGAGUAUCUGGUCAUGCCCUUUGACCUCACCAAAGCCCCUGCUGUGUUCCAGACUCUGGUGAAUGAUGUUCUCCGCGCCAUGUUGAACCGGUUCGUCUUCGUCUACAUUGAUGACAUCCUUUUCUUCUCCUGCUCCCUCAAGAACAUGUGCUCCAUGUCCGGCAGGUCCUUCAACAGCUUCUGGAGAAUCAGCUGUUUGUGAAGGCGGAAAAGUGCGAGUUCCAUUGCUCCACCAUCCCUUUUCUAGGUUACAUCAUCUCUGCAAGAUGGAUCCCGGGAAGGUGAGAGCUGUGAUGCAUUGGCCUCAGCCUACGUACAGGGUGCAGCUGCAACUUUUCCUGGGGUUCACCAAUUUCUAUCACCGCUUUAUCCGGGGUUACAGCACCCUGGCUUCUGCCCUGUCAGCACUCACCUCGCCCAAGAUUCCAUUCACGUGGUCCCCAGCUGCUGACCGGGCGUUCUGGGAGCGCCCAUCUUGGUUCAUCCGGACCAAUCUCGUCAGUUCAUGGUGGAGGCCGACGCUUCAGACGUCAGAGUGGGGGCUGUCCUGUCCCAGCGUUCUGCCCUUGACCUCAAGCUACAUCCCUACGCCUUCUUCUCCCAUCGCCCAACACCACGGAAAGGAACUACGAUGUGGGGAAUCGGGUGAAGAUGCCGUUGGAGGAAUAGAGGCACUGGCUGGAAGGGGAAGAACAUCCGUUCAUUGUGUGGACUGACCACAAGAACCUGGAGUAUCUCCGCACCGCCAAGCACCUCAACUCCAGGCAAGCCAGAUGGGCCCUGCUGUUCACUCGGUUUCAUCUUUUCCUUAUCGUACCGGCUGGGAUCCAAGAAUGUCAAGCCGGAUGCACUGUCCCACCGCUAUAGCCCCACAACUACUACCCUGGAACCAGAGACCAUCCUUCCCACCUCAUGCCUGGUGACCGAACACAGCUAGGGGAUAGGGAAGCGGGUCCAUGAGGCGCAGUGUCGAUGGCCAUCCGACGUACAUGGUGAGACGCCUCCUGAGGGUUUGACCACGGGGCAUGGGUUUCCAGUACCUGGUUGACUGGGAGGGUUAUGGCCCAGAGGAGAGGUGCUGGGUCCCCGCUAGAGAUAUCCUGGACCCAGCCCUCAUUGCCGACUUCCACCGCCGGCACCCUGGUCAACCAGGUAUUCGCCCAGGUAGGAUGCCAGGUGGUGCCACUAGAGGGG
rnacentral:lncRNA from 1 species